ensembl:lincRNA Gm12519 predicted gene 12519
GAAAAUAUUUAAAAAGUCAACCUGCCAUCUCUCCUGCCCUGCUCGUCCAAGUUCCCACUCUAGUUCCAGUACUGGCAGGCUUCACCACUAUAUCCCAGCAGGGUCCUGCUUGGCAUGUUCUCCCAGGUAUCUUCUGAGAGGUUGUUCUCUCUCCACUUCUCAUUCAAGUCUGAAGAUGCUUACAGUCACCUGCAGUACUUCUAAAUCAGAGUUUUGAGAUGGAAGAGGUCACAGCUCCAAUGAUCUCAGCCGAAGAAGAUGAGGAAGAAGACCAGCACAAGUGCUACGACUCAGUGACCUCAUGGGAAACCGUGGGGAGAGAUAGCAUUCAAGAAGGAACAUGGGGAAGAGUAUCCAGAGUACAGAGUGGAAGCCUUUGCCCUCCUCUUUCAGCUCUCCAAGGAAUGUCUUCCUGCCCGGUGUCCUGGACAACUGCCUGUCUUUAGAAUUAACAAAUGCUCUGACUUGCAGAGUCUCUCUCAAAUCAGCUUUUGCUGGUAUCAGGAUUUCUCUGGAGGACUCAACAAAGUCCUCUCCAUGCCUGAGAUUCCUACAAUGAUUGAAAUUCCAUUGUUUCUUCCCCGUGGCAUCCAGCCCACUGUACGCUGUGGCAUUUGGACAGGUUCUUGCCUCGAGUUCCUGCUCUGCCUUCAUUUCACUAUACCUAGAAGCUGAAAUAAACUAUUUCCUCCA